UCUUCCUCCUGGGCUCCUCCCUUUAGUCUCUGCUUCCCGGGCACCAGGCUGUGGGCGGCUUUUCCUCUUUUCCUCCAUGGAGCUGGACUCUUCUCACCAUGAAGUUGCGCCCUGGAGCCAGCCGACUGUGAACUGAAACCUCCCUAAAAUAGGCUGGGCCAGAUGCGACCAGUGCGGAGAAGCCUUACCCUUUCUGCUCUUCUGCCUGCGGUCAUAGAAGGACGCUCACUGCUCUAAGUGGACAUUUUCUUUGUCAACUCUUCAAAAUCCUGCUCUGAGAUUCGAAGUUUCCCAGCUGCUUGUUGAUCUCCACCCAGCCUCAAGUCUCUAUCCAGGCUCCAUCCAGGCUGUGUGGCUUCCGCACUUCCUGCCAGUGAACCUCUGUGGUGGAGCUGACGAGAGUGUUUAGCAGAAGAAAAGCAGUUUUCACAUGCAGGUAGGAGCCCUGCUGCAGCACAGAGACCUGGGAUCCACACCGCCUGGACACACUGGUGCAGUAAGCCCAGGAGCUCUGUGCUGGGGUGGCAGAUGUGAGACUCGCCGUCCUGCCUCGGCCCCUGCGGCUACCACGUGAAUGCACAUUUUCUUUUUGCGAGCAGCUUUCUGGGAUCUGCUGUCAAAUGCAAUGCCUGCACCCGAAUGUUUGUCCCAGGUGCGGAUUCUGGAGGAAUCCAAAAGAGAACCAGAGUAAUUUAUCAAGAUUGAAGAGCUGCGACCAUUUUGCCGGACCGAGAGCACAACCGCCGGGCUGUGGCCGAGUCCACGUGGUGGAGACACUCGUGUGUGUGUGUCUGUGUGUGUGUGUGCACACACGUGCGUGUCCUGGCUCUGUCACUCACCCUCCUCACAACACUGCCUUUCCACCAACUAAGCGGAGCGUGGGCUACCCAGGUAGAAAAGUUGGAAAAGGGCGCCACCUCGCAGGCCUGCUGAGAGCGCAUGCGGGUCCUGGCCUGGCGAUCUUGGCUGGCUGAGCUCCUUGCUCACCCUCUGGGCUCCCAUAGGACCGGGGGAUGGACAAGGCUUAGCUGGGGAGGAGGAGAGUGCGAGGUGGGCCUGAAGAUGUGUGGAUGACACCAGGGACUAAAAGCGCUCUCUUUCUCAUCUGGGAGAACUCGAAAUAAAAUUUCAUGCAAAAGUGGCAGAAGAUUCAUGGGACAAUGGUUUCCUUGAUAUUCUCCUAAGGAGUUUUAUCUUUCUUUCUCGCUCUCUCUCUCGCUCUCUCUCUCUCUCUCCCUCCCUCCCUUCCUCUCAAUGUAAAUAACCAUGAAGUCUCCUGUA